GUGUCAGCCGCCGCGGUAAUACGAGGGGUGCAAGCGUUAUUCGGAUUUACUGGGCGUAAAGGGUGUGUAGACGGUUUGCUAAGUCUGUUGUUAAAUACUCUGGCUUAACUGGAGAUCAGCAGUGGAAACUAGUAGACUAGAGGUUGGGAGAGAGAAGUGGAAUUCCCGGAGUAGCGGUAAAAUGCGUAGAUCUCGGGAGGAACACCGAUGGCGAAGGCAGCUUCUUGGCCCAUACCUGACGUUGAGACACGAAAGCGUGGGGAGCAAACAGGAUUAGAUACCCUGGUAGUCCACGCUGUAAACGCUAAUCACUAGAUGUUAGUUCAGCCAAGCUGGAUUAGUAUCGUAGCUAACGCGUUAAGUGAUUCGCCUGGGGACUACGAUCGCAAGAUUAAA
rnacentral:rRNA from 1 species